UCCCACGAUGUCAGGUGGCAGAAAUGCCUUG
rnacentral:piRNA from 1 species